rnacentral:rRNA from 1 species
UUGGAGGGCAAGUCUGGUGCCAGCAGCCGCGGUAAUUCCAGCUCCAAUAGCGUAUAUUAAAGUUGUUGCAGUUAAAAAGCUCGUAGUUGAAUUUCGGGAUUGACGUGAUGGUCGUACCUUAAGGGGUAUGAACUGUCGCUGUUGAUUUCUCACCUUCUGGAGAAACUUGAUGUCCUUAAUUGGGUGUCUUGCGGAUCCAGGACCUUUACCUUGAAAAAAUUAGAGUGUUUAAAGCAGGCAUUUUUGCUCGAAUACAUUAGCAUGGAAUAAUAGAAUAGGACGGCAUGGUUCUAUUUUGUUGGUUUCUAGGAUCACCGUAAUGAUUAAUAGGGAUAGUUGGGGGCAUUAGUAUUCAAUUGUCAGAGGUGAAAUUCUUGGAUUUAUUGAAGACUAACUACUGCGAAAGCAUUUGCCAAGGAUGUUUUCAUUAAUCAAGAACGAAAGUUAGGGGAUCGAAGACGAUCAGAUACCGUCGUAGUCUUAACCAUAAACUAUGCCGACUAGGAAUCAGACGAUGUUAAUUUUUUAAUGACUCGUUUGGCACCUUACGGGAAACCAAAGUGUUUGGGUUC